GACGAACGCUGGCGGCGUGCUUAACACAUGCAAGUCGAACGCUGAAGCUCAGCUUUUGUUGGGUGGAUGAGUGGCGAACGGGUGAGUAACACGUGAGUAACCUGCCUCCUUCUUUGGGAUAACGCCCGGAAACGGGUGCUAAUACUGGAUAUUCACUGGUCUUCGCAUGGGGGUUGGUGGAAAGGGUUUUUCUGGUGGGGGAUGGGCUCGCGGCCUAUCAGCUUGUUGGUGGGGUGAUGGCCUACCAAGGCUUUGACGGGUAGCCGGCCUGAGAGGGUGACCGGUCACAUUGGGACUGAGAUACGGCCCAGACUCCUGCGGGAGGCAGCAGUGGGGAAUAUUGCACGAUGGGCGCAAGCCUGAUGCAGCGACGCCGCGUGAGGGAUGGAGGGCUUCGGGUUGUGAACCUCUUUCGCUCAUGGUCAAGCCGCAACAAUGGUUGUGGUGAGGGUAGUGGGUAAAGAAGCGCCGGCUAACUACGUG
rnacentral:rRNA from 1 species